CAGACACCGAGUGACCUGACUGAACCCUCUGGAGACCAUGAAUGGAAUGAUAGAUACACUUCAUCCUUACAACAGACACCAAGUGACCUGACUGAACCCUCUGGAGACCAUGAAUGGAGUGAGAGAUCCACUUCAUCCUUUCAACAGACACCAAGUGACCUGACUGAACCCUCUGGAGACCAUGAAUGGAGUGAGAGAUCCACUUCAUUCUUACAACAGACACCAAGUGACCUGACUGAACCCUCUGGAGACCAUGAAUGGAAUGAUAGAUACACUUCAUCCUUACAACAGACACCAAGUGUUCCGAUCCUGAUGAAACCUUUUGAAGAUCAAGAAAGGAGUGGAAGAUCCACUUCUUCCUUACAACAGGUUACUACGUCUUAUCAUUAUAUACUAGGUUUGAGUUUUCAGCUUUCUUUGACAAACACAGGAGAAGUUAUAAAUCAGAAACAUGGACUCUCCAUGAUUUCAGUCGUCAUGUCCUCAUAUUUCUUCAGACCUGAAAAACCUGAGUGUGUUUCAGGUGACAUGACUUUUGUCUUAACCUAACUCUGGAGAGCCUGUGUUCGAAUGUCCCCAUAUUGCUGUUCCACAGAACUGAACAGUGUUAACUUUCUAUUGUGUGGUAUAUUCAUCCCAAACUCUCCCGUGAGCAAUGUUCAAUGAUAAUUAAUAUUUAUUCAUUUCUUAACUGGUCAGAAUGAAGAAUGCUGAAUAUUUUGACACCGUGAUGUUAUGUUGCAGACACCAAGUGACCUGACUGAACCCUCUGGAGACCAUGAAUGGAGUGAGAGAUCCACU